CCUACGGGUGGCUGCAGUGGGGAAUAUUGCACAAUGGGCGCAAGCCUGAUGCAGCCAUGCCGCGUGUGUGAAGAAGGCCUUCGGGUUGUAAAGCACUUUCAGCGGGGAGGAAGGCGUUAAGGUUAAUAACCUUGGCGAUUGACGUUACCCGCAGAAGAAGCACCGGCUAACUCCGUGCCAGCAGCCGCGGUAAUACGGAGGGUGCAAGCGUUAAUCGGAAUUACUGGGCGUAAAGCGCACGCAGGCGGUCUGUCAAGUCGGAUGUGAAAUCCCCGGGCUCAACCUGGGAACUGCAUUCGAAGCUGGCAGGCUAGAGUCUUGUAGAGGGGGGUAGAAUUCCAGGUGUAGCGGUGAAAUGCGUAGAGAUCUGGAGGAAUACCGGUGGCGAAGGCGGCCCCCUGGACAAAGACUGACGCUCAGGUGCGAAAGCGUGGGGAGCAAACAGGAUUAGAACCCGAUAGUC
rnacentral:rRNA from 1 species